UACGGAGGAUCCGAGCGUUAUCCGGAUUUAUUGGGUUUAGAGGGAGCGUAGGCGGGUUGUUAAGUCAGUUGUGAAAGUUUGCGGCUCAACCGUAAAAUUGCAGUUGAUACUGGCAUCCUUGAGUACAGUAGAGGUAGGCGGAAUUCGUGGUGUAGCGGUGAAAUGCUUAGAUAUCACGAAGAACUCCGAUUGCGAAGGCAGCCUGCUGGACUGUAACUGACGCUGAUGCUCGAAAGUGUGGGCAUCAAACAGG
rnacentral:rRNA from 1 species